UACGUAAGGUCCGAGCGUUGUCCGGAAUCAUUGGGCGUAAAGGGUACGUAGGCGGAUAAGCAAGUUAGAAGUGAAAUCCUAUAGCUCAACUAUAGUAAGCUUUUAAAACUGCUUAGCUUGAGUGAAGGAAGAGAAAGUGGAAUUUCUAGUGUAGCGGUGAAAUGCGUAGAUAUUAGGAAGAAUACCGGUGGCGAAAGCGACUUUCUGGCCAUAAACUGACGCUGAGGUACGAAAGCGUGGGUAGCAAACAGG
rnacentral:rRNA from 1 species